rnacentral:rRNA from 1 species
UACGUAGGGGGCAAGCGUUAUCCGGAUUUACUGGGUGUAAAGGGAGCGUAGACGGCUGUGCAAGCCAGAUGUGAAAGCCCGGGGCUCAACCCCGGGACUGCAUUUGGAACUGUGUAGCUGGAGUGUCGGAGAGGCAGGCGGAAUUCCUAGUGUAGCGGUGAAAUGCGUAGAUAUUUGGAGGAACACCAGUGGCGAAGGCGGCCUGCCGGACGAUGACUGACGUUGAGGCUCGAAAGCGUGGGGAGCAAACAGG